GUCAGGAUAACCGAGCGGUCCAUGGCGCUGCGUUCAGGUAGCAGUCCACUAUUUAAGGGCGUGGGUUCGAAUCCCACUCCUGACA
rnacentral:tRNA from 1 species